rnacentral:rRNA from 1 species
AUUGAACGCUGGCGGCAGGCCUAACACAUGCAAGUCGAGCGGUAGAGAGGUGCUUGCACCUCUUGAGAGCGGCGGACGGGUGAGUAAAGCCUAGGAAUCUGCCUGGUAGUGGGGGAUAACGCUCAGAAACGGACGCUAAUACCGCAUACGUCCUACGGGAGAAAGCAGGGGACCUUCGGGCCUUGCGCUAUCAGAUGAGC